rnacentral:rRNA from 1 species
UGGGGAAUAUUGCACAAUGGGCGAAAGCCUGAUGCAGCGACGCCGCGUGGAGGAUGAAGGUUUUCGGAUUGUAAACUCCUGUUAAGUGGGAAGAAAGAGUGUGGGUUAAUACCCCGCAAAGAUGACGGUACCACUAGAGAAAGCACCGGCUAACUUCGUGCCAGCAGCCGCGGUAAUACGAGGGGUGCAAGCGUUAUUCGGAAUAACUGGGCGUAAAGAGUGCGUAGGCGGCUUAUUAAGUCUGUUGUUAAAUUGCUCGGCUCAACUGGGUAUCGGCAAUAGAAACUGGUAAGCUCGAGGACAAGAGAGAGAAGUGGAAUUCUCGGAGUAGCGGUAAAAUGCGUAGAUCUCGAGAGGAACACCGAUGGCGAAGGCAGCUUCUUGGCUUGUAUCUGACGCU